rnacentral:rRNA from 1 species
UACAGAGGGGGCAAGCGUUGUCCGGAAUUACUGGGCGUAAAGAGCUCGUAGGCGGUUUGUCGCGUCGUCCGUGAAAACUUGGGGCUCAACCCCAAGCUUGCGGGCGAGUACGGGCAGACUUGAGUACUGCAGGGGAGGACUGGAAUUCCUGGUGUAGCGGUGAAAUGCGCAGAUAUCAGGAGGAACACCGGUGGGCGAAAGGGCGGGUCUCUGGGCAGUAACUGACGCUGAGGGAGCGAAAGCGUGGGUAGCAAACAGG